rnacentral:rRNA from 2 species
AAACCAACAGGGAUUGCCUUAGUAACGGCGAGUGAAGCGGCAACAGCUCAAAUUUGAAAGCUGGCUCCUUUGGAGUCCGCGUUGUAAUUUGUAGAGGAUGAUUCGGCAAGGGCUCCCGCCUAAGUCUCCUGGAACGGAGCGUCAUAGAGGGUGAGAAUCCCGUAUGCGGUGGGCUGCCUAAGCCAUGUGAAUCUCCUUCGACGAGUCGAGUUGUUUGGGAAUGCAGCUCUAAAUGGGAGGUAAAUUUCUUCUAAAGCUAAAUACCGGCCAGAGACCGAUAGCGCACAAGUAGAGUGAUCGAAAGAUGAAAAGCACUUUGGAAAGAGAGUUAAAAAGUACGUGAAAUUGUUGAAAGGGAAGCGCUUGCAGCCAGACUUGUCCGCAGUUGCUCAGCCGGUCUCCUGACCGGUGUACUCUUCUGCGGCCAGGCCAGCAUCAGUUCGGGCGGUCGGAUAAAGACCUCGGGAAUGUAGCUCCUCUCGGGGAGUGUUAUAGCCCGGGGUGGAAUGCGGCCAGCCUGGACUGAGGAUCUCGCUUCGGCUAGGAUGCUGGCGUAAUGGCUGUAAGCGGC